CUCCCCGCGGCUUCGGUUGAUCCCCGCCGCCCGCCUAGCUGGAGCAAGGUCCUCGCCCUCCGCGCCCACCUCCGCCGCCACCACUGGCUCUUCUGGAACGACGCGGAUACGCUGGUUAUCAAUCCGGACAUCCCGUUGGAGAUGAUUUUGUUCUCAGUGAUUGGGCACAAUGAUUUUGAAGCCGCUCCUGAUCUCAUUCUGACGGAGGAUUUCAAUGGUGUUAACGCUGGAGUAUUCUUCAUACGUGGGUCAAAGUGGAGUGAGAAGUUUCUGGACACAUGGUGGAACCUUACCUCCUUUAUUCAAUUAGGUUCCACAAAAAGUGGAGAUAAUGCAGCAUUGAAGAAUCUUAUAUAUCACUUGUCACCUAAAGAAAUGCAAGAACAUGUUCGGAUUGCACAAAUGCAGUGCUUAUUUAAUUCUUAUCCUUGGACACCAACAUGGAAAUCAGUGCGUCGGUUUAUCUUCCACCAUUCUACUACAUGGAAAGGGGUGUAUUCGGAUGGAGACUUUAUGGUUCAUUUUGCUGGCCUAGAUGACAAGCUUGGUUGGAUAAAUAAGAUUCUUAGGGAGGGAGGAUUUCCCCGAUGAUCAGUUUACUUCAUUAUUUCGUCAACCUAAGGGGACGAGUGAUAUGUGAAGAAGCUGACUGAUCUGUAAAGUGUUGUAUGCUAGUGAACAUGCAUGCUUUACUCUUUGAUGUGUAUGGAAUAGCAUUUCUCUACUAACUCAAAAAUUUUCUUGACUUUGCAGAGUCAACUAUUAAUCAGCAGAGGCUGCUAAUUGCCUGAUAGUUUCUAAUACAUGGGCCGCGUUCGGCAAAGUCCGGUAACUAACCCCCUCCCCUCGUACUACCGAACGUGGCCCGGUGUGCUAACUUAUUGUGAUUGUCCAGUCUUAUGGCAAUUAACUGCUUGUCCACCAGCUCACCACCUUGUCUUUUCAAGGUGAUUCCUUAAUGAGUCAGGAACACGAAAUGAAUCACUGAGUAACCUAUUCCUCAUAAACAAGAAAGGUGACAUGGAUUCUACAAUAUUAUUGCACACUUCAUGCAAAGAAAUGUAUUCUUGCACGAUAUAUCAUUGCUUUCUGCUUGAUCACAAGACAACACGCCAUAGUCUAACUUCCAACUCUUCCAUGAGUAGACCUGAAUUUGAAAAUAAUAAGUAGACAGAGCUUGCUGACGUUGGACCUAAAUUACAGUAAUCAAGUCUUAGCUUAUAACGUGAUCACCUCUUUUGUUUAUGCAGAAGAUCUGAUUACUGGCUUGCGGAUGAACAGCCCCAUCUUUUUCAUUUCUACUUAUGCUUAGAAGUCAAAAAUUGAAUUGUUAACCUUAAAUUUGGAGUAGAUUUUGGGUUUUUUUCAUCGUAUUUUAUUUUUCAGCCUUGGCUUUAGACCACUAGGAA